GGCAUGGUCGUGGGUGCCUGUAAUCCCAGCUACUCGGUAGGCUGAGGCACAAGAAUCGCUUGAACCUGGGAGGCAGAAGCUGCAGUGAGCCAAAAUCGUGCCACUGCAAUCCAGCCUAGGUGACAGAGCAAAACGCCAUCUCAAAAAAAAAUGGUUUUCAGAGCAAGGUAAAAUUCAGUAAAAGGAAAGUAUAUAUGUAAUAAAAUACAAGUAGAAAAAAGUAAGUAAAGCCAAAGGGCUUUCAUUCUAGUGUAUUUAUACCAUUUCCUUGUAUUUAUAUGUAUUUCCUAUCAUGAUCUUGAUAUUGCACCACCUUAAAUUCCUUUUCAGUUUGGCCUGAAAUACUUUUCUUCCCUCCUUCCAGUGAGCCAUUUAACAAUAGUUUGUUAUUCUGCUAUAAUCCAUUUCCAUCUCAUGACCUUCUCAUUAACUUCAGACUAAGCCAUAAUAACAGUGCUUCAAUACAAGAAUAGAGCAACUGCCCUUCAAAGUCUCAUUUUUUGAAAUCCUGUGCUAUUAUAAAAUGCCAUAAUGACCUGAACAUAAAGCCAUGUCAAAUGCUUUAGCAAUGUAAAACUUGCUGUCUCAUUAAGAGUAUAGUCCUCCAUUGUUAAACAAGAAACCACCAGCUCUGUUGGCAUAAAGCCAAUCAAUAGAGAGUUUAGUUCUACAUGAGGCUGAGAAUUUUCUACAAGUGCAAUUAAUUUUAUUCAGUUGAUUUUUAUUCAGUUGUACAUUGAUUUUAUUCGUUAAGCAUCUUGUGACACUCUGAAAUCCCAGGGACAUUUAGUAGAUAUUUUAAUCAUACCACAUAUUGUAAAGUAUGGGACAUCCUGAAAGAUCUCUCUUAGGAAGAUAUUAGAAUAAUGGAAAGGGUAGGGAGGAAUGUGUGUGUUUUAUAGAAAAUUGCUAGAAAUGUACCAUGGUAGGCAAAAUAGUGGCUCCCUGAAGAUGUCUAUGUCCUAAUCCCUAGAACUUGUGAAUAUGUUACCUUAUAUGGCAAAAGGGACUUUGCAAAUGUAUUAAAGUAAGGAUAUUGGGAUAAGGAGAUAAUAAUGACUUAUCUGGAUAGGCCCAAUGUAAUCACAGGGGUUCUUUUAAGAGGAGGGCAAGGGGGUCAGAGAAGAGAAAGAGAUGUGAAGACCAAACCAGUGGUCACAGUGAUGAAGGGCCACCAGCAAAGGCAUGUCUGUUGCUUCUAGAGGCUGGAAAAGACAAAGAAACUAAUUUUUCCCUAGAGUCUACAGAAGGAACACAGCUCUACCAAUCCAAUUUGGACUUCAGACCUUCAGAGGUGCCAGGUAAUACAUUUGCUUUAUUUUAAGCCACUAAAUUUGUGGUUACUUAUUAUGGUAGCAAUAGGAAACUAAUACAGGUACCUCAACUGUUAGCCGUGGUUACUCCCUAGAGGUUUGGAAAUGAAGAUCAGAGUUGAAGAGGACUUUUAUUCUCCAUUGUUCAUGUUAUUUGAACUGUUAUCAUGGAUU
rnacentral:lncRNA from 10 species